CAAGAUAGAACAAGGCCAAUCAUUGGAUGAGAAGGAAGGAUGGGCGGGAGAAAAGUUUGAGGGAAGAGGAGGAGACUGGAACAGAAAGAGCCUGGAAGAAGAAGCUGUUGAGAGAACAUGGAGGUCAAGGUCAAGCACCUGAAGACCCUGUGAGUUCAAUAUUGGAAUGGCGGUCUUAUACUUGGAAAAGGUCAUUUCACAGUCUUACCUUUCUUCUCUUUUAUUUUUUCUAAUUUCUCUUUUGUAAUGUUGCCUGAUUAUUAGACAAGGUGAUAUAAAUGUCGUGUAACAGUCAAGUUUGGUUCUAUCCUACGUGUCUGGACUAUUUAGCCUCUGGUUUCUGCCUAUCGAGGAAGUGUCAAAGGUAGUCUCUAUCGUUUGGCAUGAAUCUCAAGCUGUACUUGGCAUUCUAGAUAUUGG
ensembl:lncRNA